rnacentral:rRNA from 1 species
GUCGAAACCUGCCUAGCAGAGCGACCCGUGAACGCGUGAAAACAAAUCGGGACGGGUCGAGGAGGGGCGUCCGCCCCCGAUCGCCCGUUCCUCGGACCGCGUCCGACGCCCCCGUCGGUCCGAAAGGGUCGUCGGGACGCCGCGACAAAGCGUCCGUGCAAAACCAAAAACCGGCGCGACAGGCGCCAAGGAAAUCUCAGAAGGAAACGGAGGGCCGCCCCGUCCGCGGGCGCGGCCCUCGGAAUCCGAUACUCGAACGACUCCCGGCAACGGAUAUCUCGGCUCUUGCAUCGAUGAAGAACGUAGCGAAAUGCGAUACUUGGUGUGAAUUGCAGAAUCCCGUGAACCAUCGAGUCUUUGAACGCAAGUUGCGCCCGAGGCCACUAGGCCGAGGGCACGUCUGCCUGGGCGUCACACACAGCGUCGCCCCACGACAACCCCUGAGGCCGUCGUGGAGCGGAGAUUGGCCCCCCGGGCCCUUCAGGGCACGGUCGGCACAAAUGCUGGUCCCCGACGACGAGCGUCGCGGUCAUCGGUGGNCGUGUUAAUCGCCCCCAUACGGCUGACUCGCGCGACUCGUCGCCGCACGGACGCACCCACCCCCGGGAGCCGCCAUUCAAUGGCAA